UACGUAGGGGGCAAGCGUUGUCCGGAUUUAUUGGGCGUAAAGCGCGUGUAGGCGGCCAGAUAGGUCUGCUGUGAAAACUCGAGGCUCAACCUCGAGCUGUCGGCGGAAACCAUCUGGCUAGAGUCCGGAAGAGGAGAGUGGAAUUCCUGGUGUAGCGGUGGAAUGCGCAGAUAUCAGGAGGAACACCAAUAGCGAAGGCAGCUCGCUGGGACGUUACUGACACUGAGGCGCGAAAGCGUGGGGAGCGAACAGG
rnacentral:rRNA from 1 species